rnacentral:rRNA from 1 species
GAGUUUGAUCCUGGCUCAGAUUGAACGCUGGCGGCAUGCCUAACACAUGCAAGUCGAACGGUAACAGGUCUUCGGAUGCUGACGAGUGGCGGACGGGUGAGUAAUGCGUAGGAAUCUGUCUUUUAGUGGGGGACAACCCAGGGAAACUUGGGCUAAUACCGCAUGAGCCCUGAGGGGGAAAGCGGGGGAUCUUCGGACCUCGCGCUAAGGGAGGAGCCUACGUCUGAUUAGCUAGUUGGUAGGGUAAAGGCCUACCAAGGCGACGAUCAGUAGCUGGUCUGAGAGGACGACCAGCCACACUGGGACUGAGACACGGCCCAGACUCCUACGGGAGGCAGCAGUGGGGAAUUUUUCGCAAUGGGGGCAACCCUGACGAAGCAAUGCCGCGUGGAUGAAGAAGGCCUUCGGGUUGUAAAGUCCUUUCGUGGGGGACGAAAAGGCGGGUCCUAAUACGAUCUGCUGUUGACGUGAACCCAAGAAGAAGCACCGGCUAACUCCGUGCCAGCAGCCGCGGUAAUAC